GGUUUAAUAGUGUAGUGGUUAUCACAAUGGAUUCUGAUAUUCUGUCUUCACGUCAUAUCGUUGGAAUUCCAUUGACCCAGGUUCGAGUCCUGGUUAGACCU